UACAGAGGUCUCAACCGUUGUUCGGAUUCAUUGGGCGUAAAGGGUGCGUAGGCGGUCGUGCAAGUCGGAUGUGAAAUCUCAGGGCUCAACCCUGAAACUGCAUUCGAUACUGCGCGGCUAGAGUGCUGGAGGGGAGACUGGAAUUUACGGUGUAGCAGUGAAAUGCGUAGAUAUCGUAAGGAAGACCAGUGGCGAAGGCGAGUCUCUGGACAGCAACUGACGCUGAGGCACGAAGGCCAGGGGAGCAAACGGGG
rnacentral:rRNA from 1 species